GAUUAACAGAAUCCGAUUUACAACUAUUAGCAAUAACAAACUAUGUGCAUGUAUAUAAACAAAGGUUGAAUAACCAAAUAAAUCACAAUUCCUCAUCAUCUUCAUUCUCCUAUUCUCGACUGUGUUUCUUCAAGAAUCCAUUAACUUUAACAUGGUAUCUUCACCAGGCAAUAGCUUCGGCGUUGCUGAUCCAAUUUCCGUUGCGGCAGCCAACGAGACAGGUGGGGAUGCGUCCUCUGCUUCAUCAGCAAAAAUUGUAAUGAUGAAACACAUGAAGUGUGUGACCCUCGACGGGGACAACUACUUCUGCUGGAAGACUCAGCUUCAUCAGCAAAAAUUGUAAUGAUGAAACACAUGAAGUGUGUGACCCUCGACGGGGACAACUACUUCUGCUGGAAGGCUCAGUUCUCGGCCUUGCUCUGGGGAUACAAGUUACUGCAAUAUGUAGAAGGGAAAGUGGAAAUCGCCAACGGAUCUCUCGCCGAGCAGCAGGAUCAACUCAUACUCAGUUGGCUGCUAUCGACCAUUUCAUCAACGAUCCUCCCUCAGGUGGCCACGCUCACCACAUCGGCAAUGGUAUAGGAAUGCCUACGGCAGAUGCAUUCCUCUGAUUCGGAGACAAGGAUUCUCCACUUACGGCAUCAACUUCAAACAACUAAGAAAGAAAAUCUCUCUGUCAAAGACUAUCUGCGAAAGAUUUGUAUUAUCAAGGAUAAAUUGGCAGACUCCGGUGAGAAGAUGAAGGACUCGCAACUGAUUUUGCUCACGCUAGGGGGCUUGGGAACAGGAUUUCAGCCUUUCGCAACCUCAAUAACAACCAGAUUUGACCGCGCUAUGACCUUCCCAAUGUUUCAACAACUGUUGAUUGAUCACGAAAUGAGGGUUUCACCGGUUCCGGCAACGAUUGAGGCUAACAUCGCAACAAGAUCCAAAUCUGAAUCGACAGCGAAGUCACAACCGUAUCAGAUCUUCUUGAAGAAGGAGCAUGGCGCCCUAAACCGUUACAACAGGGUAAACUUUACCCGAUUUCCACCAAAACAUAAUCGGACUUUAAUUCCGGUUGGGUUAUCAACUCCCGCAGCUUCAACUCCAGAGGCAAAUAUGGCUAUAACGCGUGGAACUAUAUCCAUGUGGUAUCCCGACUCAAGGGCUACCACUUAUAUUACUGGGACAGGUAAGUUGAUUCAAAAAUCUUCUCCUUACAAAGGUAAGUCAUCAGUUUUUUGUCGCCAACGGGGACUCAAUACCAAUUGCACAAACAGGAAAAUCAAAUGUCAAAUUUAACAAUAAUAGUUUUUCUUUGGAUGACAUGCUUUUAGUACCAAACUCUUCAAGAAACUUAUUAUCUGUUCAGCGUUUAUGUGCCGAUAACAGAAUUUGUGUGGAAUUUGACAAACAGAGUGUCAAGGUUUGGGAUCUGGACACUAGAAGGGUGUUAGUUGAAGGCCGAGAGGAGAAUGGACUGUACCAGCUUCCUCUAGAAAUUGAAAAAAAUAAUAUGGCACUCUCG
rnacentral:lncRNA from 1 species